CCUACGGGGUGCAGCAGUGAGGAAUAUUGGUCAAUGGACGCAAGUCUGAACCAGCCAUGCCGCGUGCAGGAAGACGGCUCUAUGAGUUGUAAACUGCUUUUGUACGAGGGUAAACGCAGAUACGCGUAUCUGUCUGAAAGUAUCGUACGAAUAAGGAUCGGCUAACUCCGUGCCAGCAGCCGCGGUAAUACGGAGGAUUCAAGCGUUAUCCGGAUUUAUUGGGUUUAAAGGGUGCGUAGGCGGUCGGAUAAGUUAGAGGUGAAAUCCCGAGGCUCAACUUCGGAAUUGCCUCUGAUACUGUUCGGCUAGAGAGUAGUUGCGGUAGGCGGAAUGUAUGGUGUAGCGGUGAAAUGCUUAGAGAUCAUACAGAACACCGAUUGCGAAGGCAGCUUACCAAGCUACUUCUGACGUUGAGGCACGAAAGCGUGGGGAGCGAACAGGAUUAGAUACCCUUGUAGUC
rnacentral:rRNA from 1 species